GGGCGUGGAAGGGUAACUGGUGUGCCCCCUGGUCUUCAAAACCUGUGUUGGGCGUUAAGAGCGUCCUGGGUGGGUUCGAUUCCCACACACGUCCGCCA
rnacentral:tRNA from 1 species